AUUGAACGCUGGCGGCAGGCCUAACACAUGCAAGUCGAACGGUAACAGGAAGAAGCUUGCUUCUUUGCUGACGAGUGGCGGACGGGUGAGUAAUGUCUGGGAAACUGCCUGAUGGAGGGGGAUAACUACUGGAAACGGUAGCUAAUACCGCAUAACGUCGCAAGACCAAAGAGGGGGACCUUCGGGCCUCCUGCCAUCGGAUGUGCCCAGAUGGGAUUAGCUAGUAGGUGGGGUAACGGCUCACCUAGGCGACGAUCCCUAGCUGGUCUGAGAGGAUGACCAGCCACACUGGAACUGAGACACGGUCCAGACUCCUACGGGAGGCAGCAGUGGGGAAUAUUGCACAAUGGGCGCAAGCCUGAUGCAGCCAUGCCGCGUGUAUGAAGAAGGCCUUCGGGUUGUAAAGUACUUUCAGCGGGGAGGAAGGGAGUAAAGUUAAUACCUUUGCUCAUUGACGUUACCCGCAGAAGAAGCACCGGCUAACCCCGUG
rnacentral:rRNA from 1 species